rfam:Cavia porcellus supercont2_8 genomic scaffold, whole genome shotgun sequence.
GGGGAUUUAGCUCAGCGGCAUAAGCGCCUGCCUUGAAAGCAGGCAAUCAUGAGUUCGAUCCCCG